CCUACGGGUGGCAGCAGUGGGGAAUAUUGGACAAUGGGCGAAAGCCUGAUCCAGCCAUGCCGCGUGUGUGAAGAAGGUCUUCGGGUUGUAAAGCACUUUCAGUGGGGAAGAAAGCCUUGGGGCUAAUACCCUCGAGGAAGGACAUCACCCACAGAAGAAGCACCGGCUAACUCCGUGCCAGCAGCCGCGGUAAUACGGAGGGUGCGAGCGUUAAUCGGAAUUACUGGGCGUAAAGCGCGCGUAGGCGGUCUGAUAAGCCGGUUGUGAAAGCCCCGGGCUCAACCUGGGAACGGCAUCCGGAACUGUCAGGCUAGAGUGCAGGAGAGGAAGGUAGAAUUCCCGGUGUAGCGGUGAAAUGCGUAGAGAUCGGGAGGAAUACCAGUGGCGAAGGCGGCCUUCUGGACUGACACUGACGCUGAGGUGCGAAAGCGUGGGUAGCAAACAGGAUUAGAUACCCUAGUAGUC
rnacentral:rRNA from 1 species